AUUGAACGCUGGCGGCAUGCCUUACACAUGCAAGUCGAGCGGCAGCGCGGGGGCAACCCUGGCGGCGAGCGGCGGACGGGUGAGUAAUGCAUCGGAACGUGUCCUCUUGUGGGGGAUAACCAGUCGAAAGACUGGCUAAUACCGCAUGAGCUCGUAAGAGGAAAGCAGGGGACCCGCAAGGGCCUUGCGCGAGAGGAGCGGCCGAUGCCCGAUUAGCAGUUGGCGGGGUAAAAGCCCACCAAGGCGACGAUCGGUAGCUGGUCUGAGAGGACGACCAGCCACACUGGGACUGAGACACGGCCCAGACUCCUACGGGAGGCAGCAGUGGGGAAUUUUGGACAAU
rnacentral:rRNA from 1 species